rnacentral:rRNA from 1 species
UACGGAGGGUGCAAGCGUUGUCCGGAAUCACUGGGCGUAAAGGGCGCGUAGGCGGCCUGGUAAGUAGGGGGUGAAAUCCUGCGGCUUAACCGCAGGGCUGCCUUCUAAACUGUCAGGCUUGAGCACGGUAGAGGCAGAUGGAAUUCCCGGUGUAGCGGUGGAAUGCGUAGAGAUCGGGAAGAACAUCAGUGGCAAAGGCGGUCUGCUGGGCCGUUGCUGACGCUGAGGCGCGACAGCGUGGGGAGCAAACAGG